GAGUGCAGAAGAGGAGAGCGGAAUUCCACGUGUAGCGGUGAAAUGCGUAGAGAUGUGGAGGAACACCAGUGGCGAAGGCGGCUCUCUGGUCUGUAACUGACGCUGAGGCGCGAAAGCGUGGGGAGCAAACAGGAUUA
rnacentral:rRNA from 1 species